UACAACAGUCAGUCAUAAUGUUUAGUUACAUAUUAAAGUUAAAGCCCUGGUCAUUUUAUAAAUAUAGCCAUGCCAUGAAAGUGACUGAUUAGGAAUAGUUGAAACACAUCUAUUGUCAGCUUCAACCACUAAUUUCUUACAUGUAAUUCAAAUCAGUCCAUACAUAAAACUUCUACAAGGCAUAAAUAUUGUUUUUACUUGGAAAGAGACAGUUUUUUCCAAAGCUUUUCAUGUUAAAUUUGCAUACUGUUCACUUGGUCAUUAUUUCUGGAUUCCUCACCAUUUUGUACUGUUCUUAGCAAGUGACUAAAAACCACUUAGUAAAAUAAAUAAACUUUAGAUACAUUUUGUUUUGAAAGCCUUGCCAGGAAUUCAAACCUAUUACUCUUUUUAUAGAAGUCUUUGUGCUAAAUAUGUACUGAGCUAACUGCCCAGGGCAUUUUUAUCUCACAUUUCAGCCUUUUUCAGUAUUUUUUUCAUUUUACAGAUCAAACACUGAGGAUUGUUUGGCUUGAUGCAAUGACCUUAAACAGUGAAAUGAUUUUCCAGGAAGGUCUAUACACAACAAGCUGGAUUUUAUGGGGUGAUGAAAGAACUAUGAAUAUGUAAAUGGGAAUGAAACAGAAGGAAUUAAUAUGUUCUACAGUUCAUCCAGCUGAAAUCAUGCCUAUGGAAUAGAGUACAUGUCACAAAUACUGAUAUGAGCAAAUAACUCCAUAUUGCACAAAUAAUGUCAUGUUUACCUGCCCUCAUGACCUGAAAAAAGUUAAAAAUUCUAGUUCAGAUUACAAAAAGUAAAACUUAGUCAACUGUGAGAAAUAUUGGGUAAAAGUAGUGUUCUGAUGUCAUGACAGCAGUGCAGUUGUAUGAGAAGCACUAUCCUAAUACAGAAUUUAACUUAUAAAUUUUCCAAAACUGCAUGCAUGAACUACUAAGACAUGUCUGUUGAAUGAAUCCUAGUUGUUUCAAAAUUACAACAUGUGUGACAUUAAAGCACAACCUUUGGAGGAAACAUUUUUACAAUCCAAACUGCCUUGCCAGUGUGAGUGUAGGAAGGAUUUUUCCAGAAAUGGCAGAAAACUACCAAUAUAGCAGAAAAUAUUUGUUACUGGCUGAAUAUAAUAUAUCUCAUUUCAAGAAUUAAUCAUGUUAAUCCAUGGUUAUAAUUGUGUUAAAAGAUAUUUUUACAUGACAUGACCUUUGCAGAAAUAGCUAAUUGUUUUGCAAAACAUUGUGAGUUGCCAUGGUAACACAAAUUUGACUUAAAUUUAGAUUUUUUUGAUUAUGUAAACAGCAUGUGUAUAUAUAUUCUGCUAAUCAGACUAUGUUCUGCAAGAAAAUAUCUUUUAUGUGUAACCAUCAACAAAACAUGUUAUAACACAAAUCUGCCAUAAAAUGGCAGAGCUGUAAUGCAGGUAGGAAUAUCAGGAAAAUAUGUAGUUCUGGAAGACAAGUUAUAUUACAUAAAAUGAUAUUUGCCUUUUAUAAAUGAUCAUAAUUGACCAUUUGUGGUGUAAAACAAAUGUAUACUGAACAGAUGCUAAAUAAAUGUUCUGAUUCUUUCUGGAAAAUUAACAAAAAAACUACUAUUUUAAGAAAAUAGUGCAUUGUUGCCAUGGUAACAUUAAUUUAACUUUUAAAUUAUUUUGGAUAUCAUCAUAUGUAAACAACAUCUUUCUUGUUUAUAUGUUAUAUAUGUUAAGCUGUAUUAUGUUAGUGAAUAUAUUUUCAUAUGUAAUAAUUGCAUCAACAAAGCACUAUGUUAUUACACAAGCCUGCCUUAAAAUGGCAAUAGUUGUAACUUAGAGAGGUGUAUCUGAAAGUUAUGUAUUUCUCAAACCAUAUUACAUUAAUUUUCACGGAAUGAUGUCUACUCUCUUACUUUUAAAUAAGAAAACAGACAGCUUUUGAUGUAAAUAUAUGGAAAAACACUUCCAAUAUUCAAUUUAUUACAAAGAAAUUGUCAAAAAUGUUAGUAUUUUUGUAAGAAAAUACCACAUUGUUGCCAUGGUAAUGUUAGUAUUUUUGUAAGAAAAUACCACAUCGUUGCCAUGGUAAUGAUUCACUGAUCAGUAUAUCUAAGUCUUUUGAAAUUUUAGCAAACUCACAGUUGAUAAUAACAGUCUAAUAAUUAUAUCUUCUUGUCUGAUUUUCUUUCUUACUGUUUAAUAGAUAAGGUGUCUAUAAUAAUAAGAUUAAUGUCCUAGUUUUUGGGAUGUUGUCUAAUUUGAUAUCAAAUAAAUUCUGUAUCUUGUUCAAAAGAAUGUCAUAAAACAGUUGUCUGUAAACUGUUAGCACACUAGAAAAAGUUAAUUGUGUAUUUAUUUCACAUUCUAUGUAAUUUAUUGCUAGAUUCAUCAAGAGACUGUUAAAAAAGAGGUUAAACAACAGUGUUGCUAUAGAAACGAUUUUUAGAACAUAAAUAUUUUUAUACUACAUGAAAGAAAGAGACAAAAAGAAAUACAUUCCAUUAAUUGCA